GUCGGGCACUGGAGUUCUAUUGAAGGGUAUUUUUAAAAUAUUUAAAAAAGGGGUUCUUAUGUCGUUGGAGUUCUUCUGUCACUCUGUCAGCAACAGGAUAGCGCAACGUCAGACUGUAGCGCACCUAGCGGCAUGGCGUUGCAAUAACCAAAAUACACUCAGCAACGUUAAGACCCUAAACGUUAACUGUCAACACGUCAACAAGUGUUUGGGCCGUGGGAGCUUGGGAUCAUUCAAGAAAUUUGUGCUGCAGUUUCUUUCAGUAAAGCAAGAUUCAUAUAGAAAGGCGAAAUAGUUCAUGAAUAAUUUUACGAAAAGAAGCUGCAAAAUGAUUCUAUGACACACUUUGACAUGAGUAUCUGAAAUUCCAGUGAACCAGUCAGUUCACCAGCAACAGCUUCUAGUCCUGGCAAAAAGCCAGAAAACAAUGUAAGAAGAAGCAUCAACAAUUUAUCAUUUCAGGAGAUCACAACAGAUCUAUGCAUCACACAUGGUAAUCAAGAGUUUGCAGUCAGCAUACUCAGUACUCUUCUUUCUAAAGACGAAAUGAAAUCCUGGAAGAUGUCUUGGGGCUGUUAUCACUUUGUCCAACAGCAUCCUGGAAGAACUGCUACUUUUCAUCACCACAAUUUAAAACAUUUCAGCCACAGAGUUCCAGCAAAGCAUAUCCUUUACAGAUGUAAGCUAACUACAUGUGAUAUGAAUUCACACUUCACAGAUACAGGUUGUAGAUUGGCUCUAGUACUGCUACUCAUUCACCUUAGGAGCCUUAGGGAUUAAUAAUUCAGUGGCUAAAAUUAUGUCUGCUAGAUGGCGCGAGUGUCUUCG